CUGGUUAAAAUCCUGGUGAGAAUC
rnacentral:tRNA from 1 species